rnacentral:rRNA from 1 species
CCUACACAGUCGAAAGUCGAACGGCAGCACGGGAGCAAUCCUGGUGGCGAGUGGCGAACGGGUGAGUAAUAUAUCGGAACGUGCCCAGUCGUGGGGGAUAACGUAGCGAAAGCUACGCUAAUACCGCAUACGAUCUAUGGAUGAAAGCGGGGGAUCGCAAGACCUCGCGCGAUUGGAGCGGCCGAUAUCAGAUUAGGUAGUUGGUGAGGUAAAGGCUCACCAAGCCGACGAUCUGUAGCUGGUCUGAGAGGACGACCAGCCACACUGGGACUGAGACACGGCCCAGACUCCUACGGGAGGCAGCAGUGGGGAAUUUUGGACAAUGGGCGCAAGCCUGAUCCAGCAAUGCCGCGUGCAGGAUGAAGGCCUUCGGGUUGUAACUGCUUUGUACGGAACGAAACGGUGAGCUCUAAUACAGUUUGCUAAUGACGGUACCGUAAGAAUAAGCACCGGCUAACUACGUG